GGAGAGAUGGCUCAGUGGUUUAAGAGCACUGGCUGCUCUUCCAGAGGACCUGGGUUCAAUUCCCAGCACCC
rnacentral:tRNA from 1 species